GUGGCCUUCACAAGGAGCAAAAAUAAGCUGAACAGAAGAGAAAGGCACAGCUGUUCUUUGCUUUCUUAGCUCUCCAGAUUUCUUAUUUUAUCGUGUGUUGGUGCAGCUGCACAGCCAGAGGGGCACAGCUUUCCUCUAUACCAGACACAGAUGCUAGGCUUUUAUCCUUAUGAAGGCCUGUCAGAAGCCACCCUGUGGGGCAGCCAGAGCGGAUCAGUGAGGUCAAACAUCCAGAAGUUCUGGGAUCACGGAAUCAUCCAGUUUGCUGCGUGGACCCCAGGGAUCAAACUCAGACAGCAACCGGUGAAGCUGAGACUCCAGGGGGCUCCUCUCCACACCUGCCAGUCUGGAAGAAACCGCCUUGGAAUUCUGGAGUAACUUCUGUCUCAAGAAGAGCGUUAAAAUGAUUCCAAAGUACCUU